rnacentral:lncRNA from 1 species
GUCACAUGCCUCUACAGUGUAAACUUCAGCAAACUACGCAGAAAGAAGCUCUCUGAGCUACCCUGAGGGAACAGGUCAGAUAUAAGCCUUUAUAAUAAGUUGACAUUUACGAAAAACAUCAACUGGACUAAAGUAAAAACCCCUGAAGCAAAAGUAAAUGGGCGUAUCAGUUAAAAACUCAAUCAAACUCUGUUUUUCAUUUGCUUGCACCUCGAUCUUACUGUCACUGCUAGUUUUACAGGUUAAAAUAAGGCUUAAAUGAAUCCUUAUGAGAGAUUUAGAGUUUUUCUGCUCAUUUUAAUCAAACAGUGACUCCAAACUUAAGGGAUGUGAAAGUACGUGGAAAACAUAUCAGCUGACAGCAUUCCUCUGCACAUGUUUGUUUGACCUAAUUUGGGUAUUUCUCUUUUAGCGUUUGUGCACGUACAUCUUUCCAAAUCUGUCUAUCAAAUAUAUGAGCAGCAAUGGAGGUAUGGGCUUGUAUUUCAAGUUGGAAGUAUGUAUAUUAUAUCAUGAGCUAAAGUGCGCAGUAAAACUGUGUGCAUGAGCUGAACGUGUGUGAAAGAGGGAGGUGCUGGCCUUGUGUGGCUUGCAGUGAUCAACAGCCUCAGCUGGUUAUGUAACCAGGAUGCUGCAGUAUGUAGGUCAGCAGCACGGGGAGAGGCAGGGAUGGGGUAACAAGAUGAAGCUGCAGAUCGUGUUCGACUCUGAGUGAUGUUAUGUAUUAGCCUACGUGCUCAGAAAUCUCUGUUUUUUUCCAGGUUUGACUAAUUUCUGGAAGUAGAGGAUAUACAGUUUAUGUAAUACUGGUCAAACAUCAAAUAGCAUCACUCGCCGCAGGAGUCUUUGCUGCAGUUUGGCUCAAAUUCACAAGCUGGGUGGGUGGGGGUAUGAAGAGCCCACAGCUGUUGUGCAAAGAGCGAAACUAAGACGGCUUUACACAUUAGAUAAGAGUAUAGGAAGCUUCAUGCGUCUAUAAUCCAGCUCCUAUAAUCUUAAUCCAACAAGGUUUUUUUAUGCUCGUAUUUGAAAACAAAGGAUUGUGAAGCAUCAUCUUUACAGAUCACAUCAAAUAAAAACCUUCAUGUUUGGAAUGAAAGAGAGAAAUAAUCAGGCAGGAUUAAGAUUAGCAGUUUCCCGAUACGAUACCGAUAUUGUAGCCUUUAAUAUAGAACGAUACUGAUAUUGAUCCGAUAUUGGCACAAAAUUGUUUUUCACUCAGGACUUAAAAGAUACUGCCACAAGGCCAACAUCACUCUUAAACAACAUCACUCUUGAACCUGAAACUUUACAAAGUUUCAAACAAACAAAAGUUAAUGGAUCAGAGCAGUAAUAAUAAUGUCAAUAGUAAUGAGAAUUAUUCAAUGUUUUAUCAAUAUACACAAGUUUGAGAGGCAUAAUUAAGAGUUUCUUCAUGGUUACAUAAAGAACAAAUGACUGUCAUUAGUUUUGAAUGAUCUGCAGCAUGAAUAAAGUGCAGUGUAAGCAUCAGUGAGUUUCAUGAAAGCUAUUAAUAAACCUUAUGAGUUAAAUCAGUCACUGGCCUUGAUCAGCACAGAGCCUGAAAAAUCCUCUUUCUUCCUGUUAAAACUCUCUUUCUGAUAUCUUAUGAUGUAACUACGGUUGUCACAUGUGCCCCUGGAGUUUUUUAAACCCUAUCUAUAACACUGUUUUUAUCCCAUUAAUACUUUAAAUGAACACAGAUUCAUACGAAAGAGGAUUACAACCACAACAUGAGAAAAAAAAUAAUUACAGGAGGGAGAUUUUUUUAAUUUCCAUUGUUUAAGAUGAUGGUUGUUGAAAUGAGAGCCAUGGAGCAUUUUGUGAAAAUGUACUUCAAUACAUGUUUCUUAAACAAGGAGAUACCUAAUCUUUCAGCAAAUCAGCACCACAUUAUCAUAAGUAUCAUAAUGAUUUUAUCACGACUUUAUUCUCGUAAUUAAUUACUUUAUUACGUCUUCAUUCUUAUAAUUAAUUACUUUAAUAUGACUUUAUUCUCGCUAGUAAUGACUUCAUUUUUUCUUUCACACACAGUCUUCUCUCUGAGCUCCAUCAUGCCGUAGGUUCCUCUGGAUUGCUGCUGCAGACGUCCUGCUACCUGCUUUCCAGCUGCUUCAACUACCUGCAUCAGUCUCAUCUCUGUUCAUCUCUCUCUUUCUGCAUCGCCCUCUCUCCCCUUUCUAAACCCAGUGCAGUCUCGGCAGAUAACCGUCUUAUAUGUGUUUGGUUCUGCUCAAGGUUUCUGCCUGGAAUGCAAAAACACAGGAAAUUACAUACAAAUAUAAAAGGAGAAAAAUAGGAAAAACAUGGUUGGAAAAAAAUCAUACCUGACAACCUAUCUGUGUCACAUUAAUUCUUGGGUUUUUCAGUUGUGUUUGUGCGUAGAAGAAACUGCUUGUUUUGUCUGCUUUGCUGUUGGUUUUUAUGCAAACAUAUGAUUGCCUGUCUGUACCUGCUAUAAUGUUAGUUUUUAUUCAGUGGUUUAUGUAUUGUGUGUUGUAUUUCCAGCUGUCUAACCGGGGACAAGGACGCAAAUUAGCCACGGCUAGAAGUCCUGCAUAAACAGCAUCGGCUGCUCUUUAAUUAGAUGCAACAAUGUCUGAUGUACUGUCCCUGUCAAAUAAACAAAUGAAAAACAAAAA